CCGUAAUUGCAGGAGCAUAUGACAGCGAGGAAGCAGCAGCGCAUACGUACGAUCUAGCUGCUCUCAAGUACUGGGGUCCCGACACCAUCUUGAACUUUCCGGUAAGAAAAAAUAACUUGAUUGAUUGAUGCAUGUUUGUUCUUGUUGAAUUAACUUAAAAAAAUGAUCCAAAUAGGCUGAGACGUACACAAAGGAGUUGGAGGAGAUGCAGAGAUGUACAAAGGAAGAGUAUUUGGCUUCUCUCCGCCGCCAGAGCAGUGGUUUCUCUAGAGGCGUCUCUAAAUAUCGCGGCGUCGCCAGGUUUCUC
rnacentral:lncRNA from 1 species